rnacentral:tRNA from 1 species
GCGCCUAUAGCUCAGUUGGCAGAGCAGCUGACUCUUAAUCAGCGGGUCCGAGGUUCGAGCCCUCGUGGGCGCACCA